rnacentral:rRNA from 1 species
CAGCAGCCGCGGUAAUACAGAGGAUGCAAGCGUUAUCUGGAAUGAUUGGGCAUAAAGUGUCUGUAGGUGGCUUUUCAAGUCCGCCGUCAAAUCCCAGGGCUCAACCGUGGACAGGCGGUGGAAACUACCAAGCUGGAGUAUGGUAGGGGCAGAGGGAAUUUCCGGUGGAGCGGUGAAAUGCGUUGAGAUCGGAAAGAACACCAACAACGAAAGCACUCUGCUAGGCCGACACUGACACUGAGAGACGAAAUCUAGGGGAGCAAAUGGGAUUAGAUACCCGAGUAGUCCCUGUCUCUUAUAA